AUGCGGAUCCGCGAUCUUAAAUCAAGAGUUGAAGAAGUAAGUAUUAGGAACACACGCUAUAGCUUUAUCAAGAUGGAGGCUGUGAACAACAUUCAGGGGGUCAAUUCCUACACAGAAGAUGUUCGUAGUCACUCGGCUAACAAUAUUGAUGAAGCAGAACUUGUGGGCUUCUCCAAACCCAAGGUGGAGCUGAUUAAGCUAAUGGAUGUCAACACCGCAGAAGGUAAUGCCAAGGUAAUAUGUGUUGUUGGCAUGGGUGGUUUAGGCAAGACUACUCUUGCAAGGAAAAUAUAUGAUAGUGAGGAAGAUAUCGUAAAGAAAUUCCCAUCUCGUGCUUGGAUCACAGUUUCACAGUCAUUUAACAAGAUAGGUGUGCUCAAGGAUAUGAUCAACCAACUUUUGGGUGGAGAUUCACUAAAGAGAUGCUUGAAUGCACUUGAAGGGAAGGUUGUGCAAGUAGAGGACCUUACCAAGUACCUCACAACAUGGUUGAAGUAUAAGAGGUACUUUAUUAUUCUUGAUGACUUGUGGACCAUUGAUGCUUGGAAGUGGAUCAAUGAUAUUGUUUUCUCUAGUAGUAAUAUUAAAGGUAGUCGGAUAAUAGUAACAACAAGGGAUAUAGGCCUAGCAAAGGAGUGCACUCUUGAAUCCCUUAUCUACCCUCUUAAACCUCUAGAGCCAGUUGAUGCCACAACAUUGCUCCUAAGAAAGAGUAGGAGAACACAUGAGGACAUGGGGAAAGUUGAGAACUUCAAGGACAUAGUUGAACAACUAGUUAAAAAGUGUGGCUGCCUACCACUAGCUGUGCUUACAAUAGGAGGUAUUCUUGCGACUAAAAGGUUAGGUGAUUGGGAAUUUGUCUAUAACCAACUCCCAUCUGAGCUUGAGAGCAACCCUAGCCUCGAAGUAAUGAGGAGGAUGGUUACUCUGAGCUAUAGUCACUUGCCUUCUCAUCUUAAGUCAUGCUUUUUGUACUUAAGCAUCUUUCCCGAGGACUAUGAAAUCAAAAGAAGGCNNNNNNNNNNUCUAAUAGAGAGAUGGAUAGCAGAGGGGUUUGUUAAAUCCAGGGUUGGGUGGAACAUUGAGGAUGUUGGAAAAAGCUACUUUAAUGAGUUAAUCAAUCGAAGCAUGAUUGAGCCAUCAAGGGUGAGCGUAGAAGGAAAUGUUAAGAGUUGUAGAGUUCAUGAUAUCAUGCGUGAUGUCAUGGUGUCAAUUUCAAGAGAUGAAAAUUUUGUGUACUUGGCUGGAGAAAAUGUAACCAGUGUAGCAGAGAACUUCCGGCAUGUAGCAUUCCAUUGUAGAAGCAACAAUGAUUUAGGCAUGGACUGGUGCCAUGUUCGGUCAUUAACAAUGUUUAGUGAGAGACCCAAAGAGCUACCACCUUCACUUUGUUCACCCAACUUGAGAAUGCUUAGAGCUUUGGAUCUAGAAGGUGCACAAUUUAGAGUAACAGAGAAAGAUAUCAGCAACAUAGGAGUAUUGCGCCACUUGAAAUACAUGAAUCUUUCGUAUCCCAAAGGGUAUUCAAAUAUUUAUAAACUUCCAAGGUGUAUAGGAAAACUACAAGGCUUGCAGAUUUUGGACAUACGAGACACUUAUAUUUCAACCCUCCCAGUUCAAGUCAGUAAACUCCGGAGUCUCCGUAGCCUUCGUUGUUGCAAAAAUACAGUGCAUUCCAACUUCGGCCCACAUAGCCCUAGUGAACAGCUGGCAAAGAUCAGGCCGCCGCCCGUGCCCAUGAUAGUUACACCUGUAUAUGGUCCGGCCCAGGGUAACAGGGUCAAUGUGGUCUCUGGUGUACAAAUGGCCUACUCUAGCCGUUGGUUUGAGUCAGCGGGUGUGAGUUUGCCAAGAGGUAUUGGUAACUUAAAAGAGUUACUUAUACUGGAGGUUGUUGACAUCACACGAACUAGUGGAAAAGCAGUGAAAGAGAUGGGGGAGCUUACGCAGCUAAGAAAACUAAGUGUGGUAACACAAGGUGCCACCGAGGAAAAAUGUAAGCUCCUUUGUGUAGCUAUUCAGAAGCUCUCUUCACUGCGCUCUCUUCGCAUGGAAGCUAAUGGACGGGGUAAUGGCCAUGGAACACUUGAGUGGCUGCAUUCUCUUGUGUCUCCUCCACCCCUCCUGAAGACCCUGAACUUGGUUGGAAGUCUUGGAGAAGAGAUGCCCGCUUGGGUGGGAAGUCUGAUGCAUUUGGUGAAGGUUUACUUUGAGUACAACCGGCUGAAGGAAGAAAGUAAAACCUUGGAAAUACUAGGGGCACUGCCGAAUCUCAUUCUCUUUCGUCUUGGGUGGGAUUCUUAUGUUGGAGACAAGCUAGUCUUUAAAGCGGAAGCAUUUCCAAGCCUGAUGACACUUGAUAUAUGGGGCCUCAAUCAACCAAGACAGUUGGCUUUUGAGAAGGGCUCCUCCCCUAAGCUGGAAAGGGUACAAAUAUCUGGAGUCUUGCUGAGAUUGGGGAUUAUUGGUAUCAAGCACCUUCCAAGUCUCAAGGAGAUUACCCUUGGAGACUUUGCUCACGUGGCGAAUCUUGCCGUGCUGCGAAAUGAAGUGGACAUACACCUGAACCGUCCCAUGCUGCGACUGGCAGAGGGGCGGACCAGCCAUGACCUUGGAAGGAUCCCCAAAGGCUCCAAUGUACAAGUGAUAGAAGAAAAUGAAGAAUUAGAACCACCCCAAAUCCAUGAGCCUGCAGAAACAGGAGAGACCUCCUCGCAGACAUCGACGAGUGGGACCAACAGUGAAGACGAUGAACUUGAGGAUGUCCAAGGAUCUAAUGUUGUAAAAGUCGACGAAACAGAGGAGGAAUCAGCCCUCGUUCCUGAGACUGGGACGGCAGGAGAGAGCUCACAGCCAGAGGUGGUGCUGGCCAUGCCGACAUCAAAAGACAGUGAAGGAGAAGGAUCUAAUGUUGUACAAGUAGAAGAAACAGAGGAGGAGCCAGUCCUCCUUCCUGAGAUUGGUACGGCGGGAGAGAGCUCACAAUCAGAGGUGGUGGAGGUCAUGUCGACAAUGGAAGUCAGGCGAGAUCAAUGGCCAAGUGCAUGUCGAAUUUGA
rnacentral:rRNA from 1 species